ensembl:processed_transcript Gas5 growth arrest specific 5
GCUGAGCAGGAAUGGCAAUGUGGACCUCUGUGAUGGGACAUCUUGUGGGAUCUCACAGCCAGUUCUGUGGCAAAGGAGGAUGAAGGCUUACGAGGACUCGUCAGGAAGCUGGAUAACAGAACAAGUGCAAUGUAAGUAAUUUUGUGUGUGCAUGUGGUCCCAUUACAAGGAAUACCCAAUGGCAAAUGAGCACUAAAGAUCCCUCAACACACACAUUGAAUGUAUUGUUCCCUGAGAGCAAUUGUAGAUAGAGGAGUGGGUGGGAAGUCUGAAGUCAGGGCAUUGUUUCUGCCUAUCUGAGUAGGCUGGUUUUUGAUAUUUGUGGGAGCUAGUGGUCGUUAACUCAUUUACCCCCUAUUUGGUGGACUCUGGUUCCCCCAUCUUAAGUGCUGAGUCAGGGGCCUAACCGGGCAGCUUUAACUAUUUGUUUGUUGUAGGUGCUAGAAGACCAGAAAAUGAAAUGGUGGAGUUUGAGGCUGGAUAGACAGUUUGAAAGGUACAAAUGAUGGUUUGAAUAAAGGUAAGCAUUGUAAGUUUGGUAUUUACUAUAUGAAUUAAGGUACUGUUAGUGAUGACCAAUAAAGUUAAACAGAUGGGAAUCUCUCUGAAUAAGAUUGAAGAUUGAUUGUUAAGCUGAAACAGUAUUUAAGAACAUCAGUAAAUAUAGUUUACAAAUACAUAUUUCUAAAUGGAGUGUAAUUUCUUACAGGUAUAACGCACGGGUCGCCUCAAGUGAAGGCACUGCAAACAAAAUGAUUGGUCAUUCUGAAUUUCCGGUCCUUCAUUCUGAAUUUCAAAGGCUCCUGUGACAAGUGGACAUGCAGUGACUGUACCUUUGUUUCUGAGGUGCCUGGAUGGAGGCUCAAAU